rnacentral:lncRNA from 12 species
AUGGCACACAAACUAAAGAUCAGAAACUGCAUUCUAAUGUGCACAUAUCUGCUGGCGAUGCUGUCUGGACGGGAUGCUCUCUCGUGCUGCAGAAGAGAUUUCACCAACGGAUCGUCCUCCUGUGAGCUGAGUGAUCCCCCAGACCAGAGCUGUGACACGCACUGGAGCGCUGACGGUAUAGCGGUGGUUGACGAGUCUGGAGGGGUGGAUGAGAGCAGAGUUCAUCAUGCAGGAUCUCAGAGCAUCGUUCUGAGAGGAAAACACACUGAUGUGAUCUUCUGGAUGGACUGUGCUCCACCGAAGAAUUCUGUGCGGCUGGAUUGUAACGAUCUCUGCCGAUCUUCUCCAGAACAGCCACAUAACGCUGCAAACAGGAGCACGCCUGAUGGCAUCUUCAUCUUCCUGCCCAUCGUCAUCAUCUUCAUCUUCAUCUGUGUCACCUAGAUUUAUUGGGAGGAUUCUGUGGGUGUUGUGGUGACUCUGGAUUCUGUGACGUGGAGACCAAACCCAGAGAUGAACCACAAAGAUCAUAACUAUAAAAAUAUCUGUCUAUCUAUAUCAUACAUGAAACUAUAAUUUUAGUGAAUAAAGUUAUUAUUAAUUUGUAUUUAUGUUAAAUAUAUGAAAUAUAUGCUAUU